ACGGAGGAUCCAAGCGUUAUCCGGAUUUAUUGGGUUUAAAGGGUGCGUAGGCGGCGUUUUAAGUUAGAGGUGAAAUCUCGUGGCUCAACCAUGAAACUGCCUCUGAUACUGGAAUGCUAGCAAGUAGAUGCCGUUGGCGGAAUGUGUGGUGUAGCGGUGAAAUGCUUAGAGAUCACACAGAACACCGAUUGCGAAGGCAGCUAACGAAUCUAUUUUGGACGCUGAGGCACGAAAGCGUGGGGAGCAAACAG
rnacentral:rRNA from 1 species